rnacentral:rRNA from 1 species
CGGGUUCCUGUACGAUCACCAAAGUUAAGCAAGGUCAAGCCUGGUCAGUACCUAGAUGGGCAACCGUUUUGGAAUACCAGGUGCUGUAAG